AUGGGAUUUUCGCUCCGUUUGGUUACCAUUCUAGCAGCUUUGGAAGGUGCCCGGUGCCAGGUGCUGCUGGUGGAGUCCGGAGGGGAUGUGAAGAAGCCCGGAGACUCUCUGCGCCUCUCCUGUAAAGCCUCCGGCUUCACCUUCAGCAGCUACAACAUGAACUGGGUCCGGCAGGCUCCCGCGAAGGGGCUGGAGUGGGUUGCCCACAUUAAAAGCGCCCCAACCUACUAUGCUGACUCAGUCAAAGGCCGAUUCACCAUCUCCAGGGACAACCCCAACAACCUGCUGCACCUGCAAAUGACCGGCCUGAAGCCCGAGGACACCGCCCGCUAUUACUGUGCCAGAGACAUCACAGUGACACUAACCCUUUAG